rnacentral:rRNA from 1 species
AUUGAACGCUGGCGGCAGGCCUAACACAUGCAAGUCGAACGAGUGGCGGACGGGUGAGUAAUGUCUGGGAAACUGCCUGAUGGAGGGGGCUAACUACUGGAAACGGUAGCUAAUACCGCAUACCAUCAGAUCUGCCCAUAUGGGAUUAUCUAGUUGGUGGGAUAACGGCUCACCAAGGCGACGAUCCCUAGCUGGUCUGAGAGGAUGACCGGAAACACGGGAACGAAGAACAGGUCCAGACUCCUACGGGAGGCAGCAGUGGGGAAUAUUGCACAAUGGGCGAAAGCCUGAUGCAGCCAUGCCGCGUGUAUGAAGAAGGCCUUCGGGUUGUAAAGUACUUUCAGCGGGGAGGCGUUACCCGCAGAAGAAGCACCGGCUAACUCCGUGCCAGCAGCCGCGGUAAUAC